rnacentral:tRNA from 1 species
GGUGGCUCAGUGGUAGAGCACUUGCCUUACAUGCCUGAGGCCCUGGGUUUAGUUCUCAGCACCA